rnacentral:misc_RNA from 1 species
UCUCCGUAGGUGAACCUGCGGAGGGAUCAUUACUGAGUGAGGGCCUUCGGGCUCGACCUCCAACCCUUUGUGAACACAACUUGUUGCUUCGGGGGCGACCCUGCCGUUCGCGGCGUGGGGCCCCCGGAGCCCAUCAAACCCUGCGUAACUAAGUCGUCGGAGUUUAAACAAAUUAAACAAAACUUUCAACAACGGAUCUCUUGGUUCGGGCAUCGAUGAAGAACGCAGC